rnacentral:rRNA from 1 species
GCUUGUCUCAAAGAUUAAGCCAUGCAUGUCUAAGUAUAAACGAUUUUAUACGUGAAACUGCGAAUGGCUCAUUAUAUCAGUUAUAGUUUAUUUGAUGGUCCUUACUAUUUGGAUAACCGUAGUAAUUCUAGAGCUAAUACAUGCAUCAAGCCCUGACUUCGGAAGGGGUGUAUUUAUUAGAUGGAAACCAAUGCGGGGCAACCCGGAAUAUGGUGAUUCAUAAUAACUUUCGGAUCGUUUACGAUGCAUCAUUCAAGUUUCUGCCCUAUCAGCUUUGGAUGGUAGGGUAUUGGCCUACCAUGGCAGUAACGGGUAACGAAGAAUUAGGGUUCGAUUUCGGAGAGGGAGCAUGAGAAACGGCUACCACAUCUAAGGAAGGCAGCAGG